rnacentral:rRNA from 1 species
UACGUAGGGGGCAAGCGUUGUCCGGAUUUAUUGGGCGUAAAGAGCGUGUAGGCGGCCAGAUAGGUCCGUUGUGAAAACUGGAGGCUUAACCUCCAGCGGUCGAUGGAAACCAUCUGGCUAGAGUCCGGAAGAGGAGAGUGGAAUUCCUGGUGUAGCGGUGAAAUGCGCAGAUAUCAGGAAGAACACCCGUGGCGAAGGCGGCUCUCUGGGACGGUACUGACACUGAGGAACGAAAGCCAGGGGAGCAAACGGG